rnacentral:rRNA from 1 species
GACGAACGCUGGCGGCGUGCUUAACACAUGCAAGUCGAACGGAAAGGCCCUGCUUUUGUGUGGUGCUCGAGUGGCGAACGGGUGAGUAACACAUGAGUAACCUGCCCUUGACUUUGGGAUAACUUCAGGAGACUGGGGCUAAUACCGGAUACGAGCUCCUGCUGCAUGGUGGGGGUUGGAAAGCUUCGGCGGUUGGGGAUGGACUCGCGGCUUAUCAGCUUGUUGGUGGGGUAGUGGCUUACCAAGGCUUUGACGGGUAGCCGGCCUGAGAGGGUGACCGGCCACAUUGGGACUGAGAUACGGCCCAGACUCCUACGGGAGGCAGCAGUGGGGAAUAUUGCACAAUGGGCGGAAGCCUGAUGCAGCAACGCCGCGUGCGGGAUGACGGCCUUCGGGUUGUAAACCGCUUUCGCCUGUGACGAAGCGUGAGUGACGGUACUUGGUAAAGAAGCACCGGCUAACUACGUG